CCCUUCGGGGUGUGACUGCGUACCUUUUGUAUAAUGGGUCAGCGACUUAUAUUCUGUAGCAAGGUUAACCGUAUAGGGGAGCCGUAGGGAAACCGAGUCUUAACCGGGCGUUAAGUUGCAGGGUAUAGACCCGAAACCCGGUGAUCUAGCCAUGGGCAGGUUGAAGGUUGGGUAACACUAACUGGAGGACCGAACCGACUAAUGUUGAAAAAUUAGCGGAUGACCUGUGGCUGGGGGUGAAAGGCCAAUCAAACCGGGAGAUAGCUGGUUCUCCCCGAAAGCUAUUUAGGUAGCGCCUCGUGAAUUCAUCUCCGGGGGUAGAGCACUGUUUCGGCUAGGGGGCCAUCCCGGCUUACCAACCCGAUGCAAACUGCGAAUACCGGAGAAUGUUAUCACGGGAGACACACGGCGGGUGCUAACGUCCGUCGUGAAGAGGGAAACAACCCAGACCGCCAGCUAAGGUCCCAAAGUCAUGGUUAAGUGGGAAACGAUGUGGGAAGGCCCAGACAGCCAGGAUGUUGGCUUAGAAGCAGCCAUCAUUUAAAGAAAGCGUAAUAGCUCACUGGUCGAGUCGGCCUGCGCGGAAGAUGUAACGGGGCUAAACCAUGCACCGAAGCUGCGGCAGCGAACGUAUCACUUAAAGCGAUUCAGCGGGUUACGAUUGACGGAGCGAAGCGACGUCAAAGCGUAUACAAAGUCGAGUCGGUUUAAGGAUACGUUCGUUGGGUAGGGGAGCGUUCUGUAAGCCU
rnacentral:rRNA from 1 species